rnacentral:piRNA from 1 species
AAGGAAAUUAGAAGUCAACUCAAUG